GCGAAGGGAGCGGGUCAAAGUCGGGGGGAAAAUGUUGAAACUAAUUCUUCGAUUUGCUGCUACUAAAUUCUAAGUGGUGAAUGGGAACUUUUUGAGGCGGGGCUCUGUAUCAAGUGUGGACUCUAUUUGGUGGAGAUGAGGAGCAUGCGGUGCAUUAUUUACAAGCAAUAAAUCAUAAGAAAUAUUUAUAAAA